UCUAACAUGAUGACUUCAAUAUCGCCCCAGUCUGAAAUAAAAUGUUGAUCGAUUUUUUCUGAUAUACU